UACAAGAGAAAAUUCUCUUUCUGGUUGCCUUGAAUAAUUUGACAGCAAAGUGAUUACCUGCAGGAGGGCAGAGAAAAACAUGCUGAGGGACAACAUCAUAAUGAAAACCUAUGUGCCAAAUAAUGACCAGAGUCCUCAUUUUUCUCCUUAAUAUUUGCUAAGGCUGAACCACCUGAAUAGGCUUGUUUUAUGAUGGGAAUCAUAAAGGGUGCAUCUCCCUGCCAGGAUUGUCAUUUUGAGAGGAGUGUAGGAGGUUGGCAUUGACAUCCCCAGCACAAAUGACAUGCCAUUCACAUUCCAAGACAGGGCCUUCCCUCUGAGCUAUUUCUGCAUUUUUAUAGCUCAUUUUCACUACUAGGAAUACAGGUAAGUUGCCAUUGAGUGAGCAGUUAAUGGGGGGAGAGGGGCAUUAAGUAGUUCCAAAGUUUGGGGCAUGUCAAUAAUUGACCCAUUAGUCAAUACAGGGUAUCUUCAUUAUGCAACUAUGGUGGUGAAUAAGGAAAGAAACAGGACAAUUCCCAGCAUACAUAAGAAUUAAUGGAGGAAGAACACAUUUUGCUGAUGCUUUAAUGGGCAACAAGACCCACUUGUGGUGACUUCCUCCCAC
rnacentral:lncRNA from 1 species